GUGGAUUAGAUACCCGAGUAGUCCACGCCGUAAACGAUGAUGACUAGCUGUCGGGGCUCAUGGAGUUUCGGUGGCGCAGCUAACGCGUUAAGUCAUCCGCCUGGGGAGUACGGCCGCAAGGUUAAAACUCAAAGAAAUUGACGGGGGCCUGCACAAGCGGUGGAGCAUGUGGUUUAAUUCGAAGCAACGCGCAGAACCUUACCAGCGUUUGACAUGGUAGGACGGUUUCCAGAGAUGGAUUCCUUCCCUUACGGGACCUACACACAGGUGCUGCACGGUUGUCGACAACU
rnacentral:rRNA from 1 species